GAUCGCGCAAUUUUUGAAUUUGAAUGUCUGGAGAUCUGUGGAAGUUGUGGAAUUAAAUCCUUGUUGAGGCGACGAGGGCGCUGCAUUGAGAGAAAAGUUGGAGGGAAAUCGGAGAGCUGGCGAAGAAAAAACGAGGAAUCUUUCUCUUUUGCCACGGACCGUCAUCGCCUCCACAUCACCGGCCAGCUCCAGCCCACUCGCCCAUCGCCACCAGAGCCUCCAGCCACCAGCCAGUGCAUACCAGCAAUCCGGGAAGACAAUACUUCCUCCACCAUCACCACCUCAAGUGCCUCUACAGCCUGACCAACCUCUCCCAAUUCCCCAAAGCCCGACCACCGGAGGGAGCGCUCCAUCGGGAAGCGCAGGGGCUGGAUGGGCAUAGCCCGUCGCCCCCAAUCGUUGGAUACAGGAAGGAAGGAAGUAGGGGAUCAGGGAGAGUGAAAGGAAGAAUUGUGAGGAAAAAAUAUGUAUGGAAGGAUGUAGGAAAGGAAAAACAGGAGGAAUAAAUGUUUUGUCUUAACAUUUUGGCGCCCGAAGCUAAAGGAAAACCGUGUGUGUUGCGAUCGCGCAAUUUUUGAAUUUGAAUGUCUGGAGAUCUGUGGAAGUUGUGGAAUUAAAUCCUUGUUGAGGCGACGAGGGCGCUGCAUUGAGAGAAAAGUUGGAGGGAAAUCGGAGAGCUGGCGAAGAAAAAACGAGGAAUCUUUCUCUUUUGCCACGGACCGUCAUCGCCUCCACAUCACCGGCCAGCUCCAGCCCACUCGCCCAUCGCCACCAGAGCCUCCAGCCACCAGCCAGUGCAUACCAGCAAUCCGGGAAGACAAUACUUCCUCCACCAUCACCACCUCAAGUGCCUCUACAGCCUGACCAACCUCUCCCAAUUCCCCAAAGCCCGACCACCGGAGGGAGCGCUCCAUCGGGAAGCGCAGGGGCUGGAUGGGCAUAGCCCGUCGCCCCCAAUCGUUGGAUACAGGAAGGAAGGAAGUAGGGGAUCAGGGAGAGUGAAAGGAAGAAUUGUGAGGAAAAAAUAUGUAUGGAAGGAUGUAGGAAAGGAAAAACAGGAGGAAUAAAUGUUUUGUCUUAACA